rnacentral:rRNA from 1 species
UGGCGCACGGGUGCGUAACGCGUAUGCAACCUACCUUAAUCAGGGGGAUAGCCCGAAGAAAUUCGGAUUAACACCGCAUAAAAACACAGGAUAGCAUUAUCCAAUGUUCAAAUAUUUAUAGGAUUAAGAUGGGCAUGCGUGUCAUUAGCUAGUUGGCGGGGUAACGGCCCACCAAGGCGACGAUGACUAGGGGAUCUGAGAGGAUGACCCCCCACACUGGUACUGAGACACGGACCAGACUCCUACGGGAGGCAGCAGUAAGGAAUAUUGGUCAAUGGAGGCAACUCUGAACCAGCCAUGCCGCGUGCAGGAAGACAGCCCUCUGGGUCGUAAACUGCUUUUAUUCGGGAAUAAACCUAUCUACGUGUAGAUAGCUGAAUGUACCGAAGGAAUAAGGAUCGGCUAACUCCGUGCCAGCAGCCGCGGUAAUACGGAGGAUCCAAGCGUUAUCCGGAUUUAUUGGGUUUAAAGGGUGCGUAGGCGGCUUAUUAAGUCAGGGGUGAAAGACGGUGGCUCAACCAUCGCAGUGCCCUUGAUACUGAUGAGCUUGAAUACACUAGAGGUAGGCGGAAUGUGACAAGUAGCGGUGAAAUGCAUAGAUAUGUCACAGAACACCGAUUGCGAAGGCAGCUUACUAUGGUGAGAUUGACGCUGAGGCAC